UCUCAAAAAGUGUUCCUUUCUGUCCUUCCCUAAUAGAUACAAACUCACCAGUGGUAUUUGAACCAAAGUCUUCUGUUUAUCACUAUCGUAUUUUCAACGGGCUUUCCUUGCACUUGAGUCUUUUCCAAAAUGAAGAAUAACUUGAUGCCUUCUCUUGAAGACCUCAACAUGAGGUGGGAAUUGCAUGGUGUAGACCAUAAUGUUUGGCCCCCUACUGGAUGGAUUUCCAACACCUGAAAGAGCCCAUCAUCAUUCCUUACUAUAAUCAGGUCUACUUUCUUCUAGAAAAGACUCAUUCUUAUAAAAAUCAUGAUAGUUUGACAAGCUGAGGGCAAUUACCUGAUCAAUAUCAGUCAGAAUGAGAAGCCCAUGAUGGAUGCCCCUCUGGAGUGAAAGAAAAGCAGCAGAGACAUAUUAAAUUAAGCCAGUCUCAUUUGGCCCAUCACGAGAAGAUACUGAAGCAAGGUAAUUUGACCUUUAAAAAAAAAAAAUUGAGAGAUCUGCUUCAUCCUAGUAUGAAGAAAGGUCCCAGACAGGGUAAUUAGAGAAUUUCAAUAAUUGCUGGUUUUGCAACAAAGGAUUUUUCUCAAGUCCCUUUGGAUCUCAAACUGCACAUUAAGAAAAAUUAGCAAGCCCAUUUCUUCAGUUCCAAUUGAGUAGGUGGGGAUAUUCCAUGGGCAAAAGAAAAAAUGGGAAAUGAGCCCUCGUCAACUCCUCAGACACCAUAAGUCUUAACCCACUCUUUUCAAGUUGACAGGUUAAUAAAUAGUUUAAUUAUA